rnacentral:rRNA from 1 species
GGAAUCUUAGACAAUGGGGGCAACCCUGAUCUAGCCAUGCCGCGUGAGUGAUGAAGGCCUUAGGGUUGUAAAGCUCUUUUACCCGGGAUGAUAAUGACAGUACCGGGAGAAUAAGCCCCGGCUAACUCCGUGCCAGCAGCCGCGGUAAUACGGAGGGGGCUAGCGUUGUUCGGAAUUACUGGGCGUAAAGCGCACGUAGGCGGCUUUGUAAGUUAGAGGUGAAAGCCCGGAGCUCAACUCCGGAACUGCCUUUAAGACUGCAUCGCUAGAAUUGUGGAGAGGUAAGUGGAAUUCCGAGUGUAGAGGUGAAAUUCGUAGAUAUUCGGAAGAACACCAGUGGCGAAGGCCACUUACUGGACACAUAUUGACGCUGAGGUGCGAAAGCGUGGGGAGCAAA